GUGAGGAGUUUUCCGCAAUGGGCGAAAGCCUGACGGAGCAAUGCCGCGUGAAGGAUGAAGGCCUAUGGGUUGUAAACUUCUUUUCUCAGAAAAGAAUUAUGACGGUAUCUGAGGAAUAAGCAUCGGCUAACUCUGUGCCAGCAGCCGCGGUAAGACAGAGGAUGCAAGCGUUAUCCGGAAUGAUUGGGCGUAAAGCGUCUGUAGGUUGUUUAAAAAGUAUUCUGUCAAAGAUUAGGGCUUAACCCUAGAUAGGCAGAAUAAACUUUUAAGCUAGAGUUUGGUAGAGGCAGAGGGAAUUCCCGGUGGAGCGGUGAAAUGCGUAGAUAUCGGGAGGAACACCAAAGGCGAAGGCACUCUGCUGGGCCAAUACUAACACUGAGAGACGAAAGCGAGGGGAGCAAAUGGGAUUAGAAACCCUAGUAGUCC
rnacentral:rRNA from 1 species